GGGUCAGUAGGUUGGUCGUGCCACCGGUACGUACUGGUCUCACUGAUUCCUCCUUCCCGAAGAACCGUAAUGCCAUUAAUUUGGUGUUGCGGGGAAACAGGACUGUUACUUUGAAAGAAUUAGAGUGUUUAAAGCAAGCUAACGCUUGAAUACAUUAGCAUGGAAUAAUGAAAUAGGACGAUCGAUCCUAUUUUGUUGGUUUCUAGGAUUGACGUA
rnacentral:rRNA from 1 species